CAAACAUCAACGUCGCCAUCCCGUCGCCGCAGCACUCGCUGUCCCACCAGGCCACCAUUGCCGUCUUACCGCCGCAGACCUCGCAGGCUCACGCCGCCAGCGCCCUCCCCUCGGCUGACUGGAAAUCCGCCGAGCAACAUCGCGCCAUCCCCAACGCCGGCCGCGCCCCCGACGCCACAGCCCUCCCAGAAUCCCGCCGUCCAACUCGAAAUCCGGCCGCAACAGCACCGCGAUAGCCUGCACGGGAGGCCCUCGCCCUGCACGCCGGGAAGGGAGGCAGAACUGCAAGAAGACACCCGCGCCGCCUUGCACUCCAGGAAGCGAGGCCGGCCUGCAUGAUAGAACGCUGACAGUCGAGGCGCCCUGCACAUGCCCUGCACGCCGUGCUUUCUUCAGAAAAUUAAUCAAGUUAUCUCAAGGAGCUGAUGUCUUGGUGCUGUGUGAACCGAACAAAUGCCAGGAUGUCAAACUCCAACGUCAGAAUGUGUGUGCAAUUCAGGCCACUCAUCCACAAAUAGAGGAAGGUUGAUGGUGAAAAUGCUUGCUUCAAGAAAUUGGACUAGGAGUCUUUUGUUUUCAAGGUUUGGCACUCUUCUUCCUUUAGCUCUGUGACGAUAUGCGGAACAUAGAUAAAUGUUCAUGUGCAGUUCUUUGUGAGAUGCACAUCAUUUGUUGUGGCCCCUUAUGUUUACCCAACUACAUAAUAAGAUGCUAGGUAUUAGCAGAAACAAAACCUCUAGAUAAUAAAGCGUGGAACAAAUGUCUUCUCCGUAAUUCCUUUUGUUGCCCAUAUAUUACUCAUGGGAAAUUCAUGUGAGUUUGUUGGCACGAUAUUUGUGUUUCCUCAUGCUAGCUCAGUACCUUUUCUGACAGUGCUCAUUGUUGCACGUUUUGAUUCUUUGUAUUUCUUUCUAAAUGUUGUGUUAGGCCAGAAGAUGUUUUACUGAAUUAACACAGUCCGCUGCUUAGGGAAUUAAAUCUGCUGAAUGAAUGAAGAUGGCAGCAAUUAUCUGCCGUGUGUUGUCAACAUCCUUGAACUGGUCUAGGACAUGGGUUCUAUUAUUUUGACAAUUUUCUUCUCAUUAAUAGAAUAUUGGUUAAAUUAAAAAAGAAAAAUCUGAAUCUGAAAAAUGUAGAAAAGAUGUGUGCUUGUUCCAAACUUGAAUCGCAAGGAUUAUUAGUGAAGAAAAAGCAGAGCUAGCAAAACUGAUUUCAGAGAGCUAGAUCAUGAUCUAUAGAAUGAUGAUUAUCCUUGCAUGCACAAAUUUAAAGAAGGGUACAGGAAGCCCGGGAUAUCCUAAGUGUUGGGCGGACAGAAUCCGGCUCCACCACUUCACCAUUCCAUCCCUCCCCAUUCCUGAUCGGUAGAACAUAAAUCAUGCUCCUCCUUGCACCGUCCUCUCCCAACAUCUAUCUCACGGUACAGUACUAGCGGCUGUCCCUCCGCGUGUAGCGCGAUGUGUCACCGAUGGUGUGCUGCUGCAUGCUAGGCUUAUCGCUCGCCUCUUCGAAAGAGGGAGUAUGUGCCUCUUCCCAACCUUUUCCAGCUUGUGUUUGGUGGCGGCGUGCAACCGCCUCCCGAGGUACCCUUAUGCACACAGAUAAUGUGUGUCCCAAUUUUUAAUUUUUAAAAAAUAUAUUGUACAUGAUUGCUUGUUCUAGAAUUAAAAAUUUCCACCGCAGCAAUCGAAGCAUGAUUGAUCAGCCAGUGGCCUGCAGCUACUGGUGCUAAGGCCGAAGAUGCGAGCGUUUCGUGUGCAGGUGACUGAUCCCACGGGGUUGCAGAAAGGGUAAUGAAAUUAAUAAGUGUCGUAGCUUAGGAUAUUUGGAUAUUUUUUUUCUGUUGUUUUCAUAAGCCUCUACCUUCAUCCAUGCCGUUUUCUAAUCGAUCAGCUAAUCGAUUUUUGUGUUGAGUGUAGCAUGCUUUUGGCUCUAGAAAUGUAUUGGUGUCCUCUGAGAGUCAUGUUUGAUAUGUACAAACAAUGAUAUGUAUUUCUCUGGCCUUGGCAUGCACAGUAUGAGUUGUGAUUGAGCAAUCAGCCAUAAGCCUCUAACUUGGCAUGGGUGCGGCAUAAUUUUCAUAUUGAGUGCAUUCACUUGCUUGGCAAGUCAUCACUUGAUUAAAAAUAGCGUUCCAUUACAUAGAUCAUAGCCAGAGCAUAUAUGCUUUUGGCAUUUUCUCUAAGGCUCUCACAAAGUCACGUUGCCAUGUUGAUGUGUUAAAUGGGGAUGUCUGCUAUCCAAGGUAGUUAAUGUCCUCUGAUUACUAUCUGGCUGCAUAAUAUUACUGUUCUAAGUGGGCUGCCUUUUUUGAACUUCUACAUGUUUCUAGCAGUUUUAGGUGAGAAUUGCAUUUGGCUGUUUGCACUUAAGGUUAUAGUUUCUCAUUGAUUUUUCUUACUAUCCUGCUAGGUGUUUGUUGAUUCAGCAGUAUUUUGAACCAUAUUUGUUACAAUGCAGUUAAUAAGAGAGAGAUAGCAGAAAGGAUGAGUGCCCUAUUGGAAUUGUUCCCCAAUAUGAAUGAGGAAUGCUUCAUGAUGUAUGAGAUUUAGGGAACCUUAAAUAGGGAGCUUUGUUUUAUUAAGGUGAUUUAUGGCUCCCAAAUAAAAUAUUUGCUGAGCUAAUUUGAUUAGGACUUCCAUGUUAGGUAGAAAAUCACCUUCACUGGUUUAUGAUGUAGCAUCAAGAAGAAAAUGAGAAGAGCGGUAGCAAUUGGUCCUGACAAAGGUGUCUAGGGGUUGUGACAGUUCAGUAUGAAAGGUCAGUCCAAUAGUUUUCUCUCUGUAUUAGUAUUACUUUUAACCAAACGUCAUGUACACAUUUGUAAUUUAUUCGCAAGAAACACAAAUGUGAAUAUAACCAAUAAGUAGACCUGUAUCUAUUUUAACUUGGUUUCCAGGAGCACAAUGUGCAGGUUGUGUCCUUCAAACUUUUUUCAGUUCUCGGGAUUAUUCUUCUCUGAACAUAGAGCAUGUACAUUUGUUGUAUUCUGUCUGACUACACAAAGUGGCAUGUUUCAAGCAUGAUUGCAGACAAGCAGUAAUUCAGUUGUCAUUUUGGCCGAUAUAUGUGGCAUCCACUGGCAUCGUCCUUCUCUCUUGUGACUCAAACAAACAUGGAUGAUUGAUAGUUUGAUACACAUCACAACAACGUUGGGCUUGAAAACACAAUAGAGUCAGGAGAAACCUUAGCAUCAAAUUUUACACACUUUAUAAGAAUCGUGGAUAAUUUGGAGAAGGAAGAACAAGACAUGGAUUUAUAUUUUGAUGUGCCAAAGAUGACGCAUGUAUCAACUUUGUUUCUCAUGUAUCGGACUUAAAUGUUUCAAUAACUGCUCAUAUCUUAUUUGCAGUCAUAAUAUGGAUGGAUGUGUACUUUAAAUGAAACUUUUUGGUGAUUUUGGUUCGGUAAAUGAGAUACUUUUGGAGUUCCGUUGUACGCGACGAGCAAGGCAAAGCAUCUGGGAAAGGCGACUAUGAAUCUGCCCAGGUUUGUGGAGGCAUACAUGGUACUAUUCAUUCCAUUGUUUAUGACGAUGAGCUUCAGGUUGUUAAUUUUGCCCCUUUCAUUUUGUGAUUGUGUGCCCUCUUACAAUGAUGCCCUUCGAUAGUUAUGCUUCAAUAUAUUUCAUUUGUCAGUGGAUUUAUCUAGAAUUACUUAUUAGCCAUCCUUGGUUUGUUUAAAUCCUUUCUUAAUUUUAAGAUUUUGUCUCCUCUUAAAAUGAUGCCCUUUGACAGUCAGUUUUCAAUACAUUUCUAUGUCAGGGGGUUUACAUAGAGUUCUUUACGAGCGAAGAAUUGAUCUGUAAUUUUGGAGAUUUAGGUGUACUGGUAUCUUUUAUAAGUAUUAGAGAUUUGUAUGAUGUAUACUUACCCGAAUUUGUGGAUGAUCGAGUUCAGGAGAACACCUGGAAAUCAUAAGGAAACAUUACAGCAUCAACAGGCGCGAUUUAUAAUUUUACUGUCUACUUUUUUAUAGGUGAGUA